AAUCGCCUUCGAUUUAUUGACUUGCCAAAGGACGGGUCUGAAUUAUUUUGUUUAUCUUCUUUCUUUGAGAGACAGAAAUCCAAUGUUAAAGAUGCUGUGUUGAAGAUCACUGGGUCUGAAUCAAGUGUUGACUCACCUCGGCUUGCAGGUUUUGUUGUCGAUAUGUCAUGUACGCCAAUGAUAGAUGUGGCUAAUGAAUUUGGUGUUCCAUCUUACUUUUUCUACACGUCAGGUGCAGCUUUUCUUGGUUUUGCGCUUUAUGAGCAGAAGAUCCACGAUGAAGAAGAAUUUGACCUCAUUCAGUUCAAGGAUUCAGAUACCGAGUUAUUAGUGCCGUGUUUGAUAAAUCCAUUUCCAGCUAGAGGUACGCCUUCUGCGAUGUUAAACAAAGAGCGGCUUCCUUAUUUACGUAACGCAGCAAGAAGGUUUAGAGAAGCUAAGGGUAUUAUAGUAAAUACGUUUCUGGAGUUGGAAUCCCAUGCAAUCGAGUCCUUUGAAACGCCUCCAUUGUACCCUGUGGGACCCAUUUUGAACGUGGAGUUGGAUGGAAGAAACUCCCACCAGGAAAUUAUGCAAUGGCUUGAUGAUCAGCCUGUUGCAUCAGUAGUGUUCUUGUGGUUUGGAAGCAUGGGAAGUUUUGGUGAGGAUCAAUUGAAAGAGAUCGCUUGUGCACUAGAGCACGGUGAAUAUCGAUUCUUGUGGUCUGUACGCCGACCACCACCUCCAGGUAAACAAGCAUUUCCUACUGACUAUGAGGAUCCGCAGGAGGUUUUGCCCGAAGGAUUUUUGGAACGAACAGCUGCGGUUGGAAAGGUGAUAGGUUGGGCUCCACAAGUUGCCAUCUUAUGCUGAGCAACAAUUUAAUGCCUUUGA
rnacentral:misc_RNA from 1 species